rnacentral:rRNA from 1 species
GAUACCCGGGUAGUCCCAGCCCUAAACGAUGCGCGUUAGGUGUAUCGGUGACCACGAGUCACCGAGGUGCCGAAGGGAAACCGUGAAACGUGCCGCCUGGGAAGUACGGUCGCAAGGCUGAAACUUAAAGGAAUUGGCGGGGAGCACCACAACGGGUGGAGCCUGCGGUUUAAUUGGACUCAACGCCGGGAAGCUCACCGGAUAAGACAGCGGAAUGAUUGCCGGGCUGAAGACCCUGCAUGACCAGCUG